rnacentral:rRNA from 1 species
AUACGUAGGGUGCGAGCGUUGUCCGGAAUUACUGGGCGUAAAGAGCUCGUAGGUGGUUUGUCGCGUCGUCUGUGAAAUUCCGGGGCUUAACUCCGGGCGUGCAGGCGAUACGGGCAUAACUUGAGUACUGUAGGGGAGACUGGAAUUCCUGGUGUAGCGGUGAAAUGCGCAGAUAUCAGGAGGGACACCGGUGGCGAAGGGGGGUCUCUGGGCAGUAACUGACGCUGAGGAGCGAAAGCAUGGGUAGCGAACAGGAUUAGAUACCCUGGUAGUCCAUGCCGUAAACGGUGGGCGCUAGGUGUAGGGUUCUUCCACGACUUCUGUGCCGUAGCUAACGCAUUAAGCGCCCCGCCUGGGGAGUACGGCCGCAAGGCUAAAACUCAAAGGAAUUGACGGGG